CGCGUAGGCGGUCUUGUAGGUCAGAUGUGAAAGCUCCCGGCUUAACCGGGAAAGUGCAUUUGAAACCAUGAGACUUGAGUAUGGGAGAGGGAAGUGGAAUUCCUGGUGUAGAGGUGAAAUUCGUAGAUAUCAGGAGGAACACCGGUGGCGAAGGCGACUUCCUGGACCAAUACUGACGCUGAGGCGCGAAGGCGUGGGGAGCAAACA
rnacentral:rRNA from 1 species